UAGUCAUACCAUAAGAAGCCAACAAACACUGACACUAAGGACAACAUAAGGGAAAUUACUUGUGCUUAAUAGAUGAAACAAAGAAACGAUAAUUAAUGGAAAUGAAAGGGGAUGAAAAAAAUGGCUGUGGCUUAGCUAAGGUUAAGCCCAGGAUGCGAAGCAUACUAGCCUUUAUUUUAGUUGUUGAACCACUGUUUAGCCUGGUGAACUGCUGUCACUUGGCUAUAUUUGGUUCGGCUAGACGAAGAAACAACUCAUGCAGGCGAGCACACGAGCUGAGACCCGGCUAUGUAGCUACGCGGCCGCAAGCGAGCGCAUGAGUUGAGCUUCCGCUUUUGCAGCUGUUAUGACGUCAUAUGGUAGCUACGCGGCCGCGCGCGGCGCAGCAAGGAAGAGCGUGGUUGUGCGGCUAGUAUGCUUCGCAUAAAAAUGGCCAGGCUUAGCUUGGUUAAGCCAAGAAUGCGUUGCAUAUUGCGCGAGUUGGGUCCCAGCUUUUCCUCCGGCUGUCGUGACGUCACGUCACGUGGUUGCGCUAAAGGUCAAUGGUGGCUGCCCGGCCGCGCCCAAGGGCUGAACUGAGUGAUUGCAAUAUGCAACGCAUAAAAAUAGAAGCAACUUAAUAACACACAUAGCAAACUUAAAAGAGAAUAGACCCACAUAUGAGACGCGCAGCAAUGAACAAUGGUUCAUACCCUCAAUGGUAGCUACGCGGCCGCGCUCGGCGCAGCAAGGAAGAGAGAAGGUACAAAAGAGAGAGAUAGAGAGAGAGAACGAAAAUGAUGCAUUAAAAUGUAGAGAGGUUAAGCAGAGGUAGUUCCGGUUGGCUACAAAAACGAUACUUUGCUGAUUGAGAUUCUAAGAUCGUCUUCGACGCGUCCGUGUGCUGAAGUUGGGACGACUCAAUCAGACCAUUAAAAUUAUACGGUCACAGACUUCGAAAAUUAGCUGUGCUGAGUUGUGUGCUUUUCUAUGUAUCUUAUGAAGCGCAGCUCCUGGGCGCUCGUGCCUACGCUGAGCGUUGGCAUACAUGACAAUGAUCCGAGCGAUGAUACUAAGCAUGGAAUACAUGGCAAUGAUAGAGCAGACGCAGCUGCCCGAUCUGCCCAUGACGGCGUCAACUGCGUUGCCAUUCCUCUUUCGAGAGCCGACGCAGCGAAAAAACUUGCCGUAUUUGCACACGACCUGACAUUAGCUCAGUGGCAUUCAUCCGAUUUCACAAGUGCACACUUUCGCACCCUGGACCCUAAUUUACAGCUCCGUAUUCCGCCCGAGCUUCCACGACGUGACUGCGCCCUUCUAGUUCGUCUAUGGCUUGGAGUGGCAUUUUCAAUGGCGUACUCCUUUAUUAUCGGAAUGUCCAACAGCCCACUUUGUGACUUUUGCGGAUGCAAUGAAACAAUCGCGCACCUUCUUUGUGAGUGCUCUCGUUUCAACUCGCAAAGAUCAGUCCCCCCAGGCAGCCUAGACAAACUGGACAAGCACCCAAUAGCAGAAAACAAGAUCCUAGGAGACUGGCCUACGCGAACAUCAGCGCGAUCGGCUAUGAAGGCGCUGCUACAGAAUUUACAAGACAAUGGACUUUCUGACAGAUUGUGACUUCACUGUGUGACGCAAGAUUGUACGGUGACACUGCAUAACACUAGGAACGCCUUUGCGGGCUGCGUGACAGUGCCCACAGAAACAAUUCGUGUGUACGUGCGCGUGUGUGUAGUUUGUUCUCCUUUUUUAUUUCCUUCUCUCUCUCACCUAUCGCAUCCCCUCACCCCUCCCCCAGUACAGGGUAGCCAACCGGAGAUAAUCUCUUGUUAACCUGCCUGUCUUUCCUUUGCCUUUCUCUCUCUCUCUCUCUGAGCGUCGACAUCGCUCGGCAUAACCGAAGGAACGAGCACAGCGAAGGAUGAAAGCCCGGACGCCGAGCGCAGCGGGGGAUGAAAGACGGCGAGAGCGAGGAGACCGCGAGGAGGAAAGCGGAGGAGACGGGUGCCUCGGAACUAUCAGGUGGAAAGCAGAGGCGGAGAGUAUGACGAAUGGUAUUGCUGCUGCGUUCUUCAACGUCACCACCACGUGACAUCUGGAGGAUGUGCUUUGCGUUCAUGUACCGGACGCCACCACAAAGCCGUCAGCCAAGCCCGCACGCGGAAUACAACACCAAUGUCGCCAAGAACCCGCGAGGCAGCCGCAGGCUGCAAGGACUGCCCCCGGAGCACGGACUAUUGCCUGAGACGACCAGGAAGAUCGUCGCCCAGUCAACCCAAAUGGCAGCCCCAGCGUCCCCCGCCGUGCUGCAGCAGCCCAGGGAGCCUUCGACGUUCCGAGGUUCAACGUUCGCGGAUCAGGAAACGGCUUGAGACAUACGAGAGCGUAGCUGCUUUUACCUCUGCAAUAGAACGCCUAUGUUAUUCUUUGUCAUCACGGUGUAACCAUUACAACUCUACUGACUCUUAUUUAUUUAUUUGUUCCAGUGCUAAACUUAGAUCUAUGCUUGCAGAAGAAGAAAACUUAUUUACUUAUCUGGUAUCUAUUCA